AUAAACUAUAAAGAAGGUUUAAUGUCUCAAUAAGUUUUUAUUUUUUAUCAGAAUUUCAAAUAGGUCUCACUCUUUUUCGACGUUUUAAUUGGGUCCUUAUUUUUGUAAAAUUGAAUCAAAUAGGUCCUUACCGUUAAAUUAGACCUAACAUCGUUAAUGCAUACUUGAUGUGACACGGUGGAUUAUAUUUUUAAUUGAUGAGGUUGAAUGACGUGGAUUUGGAUUAUUUUAAAAUUAAAAAUUUGAGAGUCACGGUCCUUACCACUGCAGAGCUUCUUCUUUCAUGUUAGGCCUUCUCCCCUAAAGUUUCAUUGGAGACUUCUCCCACUCCUCCGAUUUUGCCAUUCAUUCCUUAAAUUUAAUAGUAAAAAUAUAGAAUGAAAAUAUUCUGUUGAGCUCAAACAGGUACUAUCCCUGCUGUGAAAUCCACCCAUUUUAUAAGCUUGGUGAAUGGCCCAACCAAGUGAAUGCUUGCCCCUGGAAAACAAACUUCUCUUCACAACAAAACUUCACUUCGUGGUAGAGUCUGGUAAUGAAGAGUCAUCAUCUGUCAUCCCAUCAUCAUUCUUCUCAUCAGCUUCACCAAUGUUAUCUCCAGAAUUUGAAGAAGACAACAGAGAAUAUAGAAACGCAGUUAAUCACGAAGUAUCAGGCUCAUCAAUAAUUGUUAGAAAUAGGGUUGAGAAGAACACUGGCUAAAUCAGAAACAAAGUAAGCUUCUUUGCUCCCAAACGACUGCUCUUUACCUAUAAGCUAUUGCGAUUUAUGGAAUUCACGAAGAAUUUCCACCGCUAAAAAUUAAAAUAAAAAACUAACUAAAAUUCCAAUAUUCCCAGUGCUCUCGUUCAUUCAUUCGCCCCCUUUUUCUCGCGAUUAAGGUUUGUCAAUUUGGGGUUGAACAUCUGUGCAAGUUAGGGUUUUCGUGAUUAGGAGUUUUUCUGGCUUUUGAUUUGGGAAUUUUCGCAGGAUCUGAUUUUGUCUCGCAGUGGUGAAAAUGUUGGAUGAACUUGCGCUAGGUUCCUGAAAUUUGCAGUUGGCUGCCAUGGAAGUGUGAUUUGGUGAUCGGAGAAGAUGAAGAAU